UGUCCGUUAUUGCAGGAAAGAUUUGCUCAGAAAUCAGAGCAGCUCUGAUCCUCUGCCAGCCUUCACAAGUCCAUAUCACUGCACACUCACUCCAUCUCCGUCAGCAUUCGCGUUCAAGCAGUGUCACAUCGGUUUCGCCAGGCUAGUGCGGGUUAAUGAGAAACUGUGUGUGUAUGCAGGCACAUAUUCACAUGUUGGCUUUACAGGCCACAGCAACAAUCUUCAAACAUUGCUGAUUUGUAUCGAUAUGGACAAAAUGCAAACAAAACCUUUUGACUUCUCCAGUAGCAAGAAUGAGACAAAUUCAGUUCAAUUUUCUUUGUCUAGCACUUUUAAUAAUGUCACAAAGUAACUUUAUUGAAAUAUGGAUGGAGAUUUAGAACCCUAACAAGGAAUCCAGAUACGACAGUGACUAUGUUUGAAUGCAUAUCAAUAUUUCGAUAUUAAUCUAAAUUUAGCAAUACUCUAAGUAGUAUUGAGUCAUGUAAACGCCACAGUCCGACUGCCUGAUUGAGAUUAAGACAAUAUUCUGCAACACGAAUAUAGAGCUUAAAUGGAAUUUGGGUAGGGUUAGGGGUUAGGGUUAGGGUUUGGGGUUAGGGUUUGGGUUAGGGUUUGAGGUUAGGGUUAGGGUUUGGGUUAGGGGUUAGGGUUAGGAGUUAGGGUUAGGGGUUAGGGUUAGCGGUUAGGGUUAGGGUUAGGGGUUAGGGUUUGGGUUAGGGGUUAGGGUUAGGAUUAGGGUUAUGGGCUAGUGUUAGGGUUGGGGUUAGGGUUAGCGGUUAGGGUUAGGGUUAGGGGUUAAGGUUUGGGGUUAGGGGUUAGGGUUAGGAUUAGGGUUAUGGGCUAGUGUUAGGGUUGGGGUUAGGGUUAGGGGUUAAGGUUUGGGGUUAGGGGUUAGGGUUAGGAUUAGGGUUAUGGGCUAGUGUUAGGGUUGGGGUUAGGGUUAGGGUUAGGGGUUAGGGUUUGGGGUUAGGGUUAGGGGUUAGAAUUAUCUCCCUGAGACGACACGAGGAAGAAAAGACGAAUCAAACAUAAAAGCGAACACAUCCUUUUCUGGGUCACAGCGGAUAGUGCUAUUAUAAAUCAUUACUCAUCUCCAGCUGCAUACUCUAAAGUUAAACAGUAUUACGUGUGUUGAAAAGAUUUUCAGUUCGAGCAUCACAGUCUUUAUGAUAACAGCAACAGUUCUUAGGUACAAAUCAGCGUGUACAGGUAAGAUUACACUGAAGCGCUGAGGCGAGGGAGAGAUCAUCAACAGCAGCAGAAUAAGUAAGUAUUCAUUUCUGUAACAGAAAUUCUGCUUAGAAUUCCCAUGACUCUUUGUUUCUUUUUAGUGUUCAUUACACUGACUUUGUUAUAUAUUUAUCUAUAUAUCUAAAACAACUCAUCAUCAUCAUCAUCAUCCUGUCUCAGUUGUAAAUCAUAAAUUCUGUGCCAAACAGGAUAUAAUGUAAUGUAAUGUACAUUCUAAAUCAAUUUUUCUCAAACUUUUUAAAGCUAGGGUAAAAUGAAUUCUGGUACCCCCUCAUUACAGAUUUAUUCCAUGAACAUUAUUUAAAUGUCUACAAUAUACACGGUAUACACCAUCCACUUUAUUACCAUCCACCUGUACACCUACACAUUCAUGCAGUUAUAUAAUCAGCCAUUCUGUGUAAACUCUAGAGACUGUUGUGUGUGAAAAUCACAGGAGAUCAGCAGUAUCUGAAAUACUCAAUCCAGCCCAUCUGGCACCAAAAACCAUGCCACGGAUAAAGUCACACAGAUUAAAAUUUCCCCCCGCAUUUUGAUGUUUGAUGUGAGUAUUAACUGAAGCUCUGGACUUGUAACUGCAUAAUUGCAUGCAUUGUGCUUCUGCGACGUGAUUGGCUGAUCAGAUAAGGUCCAGGUGUACAUGUUUUCCUAAUAAAGUGGACAGUGAGUGCAUAUUUUCUCUAAUUAUUAGAGCCAUAAAGUGUUCUACUCCUGAACGUCCCACUCGAGAAACACAAUACGUCAAAUCUCAUUCUAGUUACAGAUCAGCAUGUUUGAGCGUCUACUGUUUGACGUAAAACACGCAGUCAAACAAGUUAACAGGAAACAUGUUCAUCAGUUAUAAAUGCAACAACUGGUAAUUGUGCGCUUUGUUUUCCGUCACUUUAGCAAAAAAAAUUAAAAACCAUGGGAAAUCCUUUUUCCUUUUCUAAAAAUCCCAAUGUAUUUCCUUUCCCUAUUUAAUUUGCAUCCUUUGAACUACAAGCAAAUGUUGGACUGGUUCCACUAAAAUAUUUAAACAAGACACAUAGAGAACUCACCUGAUCGUCCAGCCCUGCAUGUCACAAGACUGGUUUUACACACACACAACCACACACACACACACAGAUAUAUAUAUA
ensembl:lncRNA